GCCCAGGUGGUGGAAUUGGUAGACACGCUACUUUGAGGGGGUAGUCUGUAAAAAGGUGCGGGUUCGAGUCCCGCCCUGGGCACCA
rnacentral:tRNA from 1 species